AAAUUGAUUACAAUAAUAAACGCCAGGGUAUUACGAGUGCAAACUUAAAAUCCAAAGGAUUUGACGGUGUCCCACCCACCUAGAGGAGCCUGUUCUAUAAUCGAUAAUCCUCGUUAUACCUCACCAUUUCUUGCUACCCAGUCUGUAUACCUCCGUCGUAAGCUUACCAUUUGAAUGCAAAGAAGUUAGUCUAAUGAUUAUUCAUCAACACGUCAGGUCAAGGUGCAACCAAUGAAACGGAAAGCAAUGGGCUACAAUUUCUAUAAUAGAACAUACGAAAUACAACAUGAAAAACAGUCAUGAAGGCGGAUUUAGUAGUAAAAGAAAAAUAGCGUGCUUUUUUUAACAAGGCUCUGGGACGUGUACAAACCGCCCGUCACCCUCUUCAAUAGUAUACUUCAAUUUAUAAUCCUAAGAAACACCUUAGAAGAGGCAAGUCGUAACAUGGUAAGUGUACUGGAAAGUGCACUUGGCAAAUCAAAAUGUAGCUUAAAUAAAGCAUCUCGCUUACACCGAAAAAAUGUCUGUUUAACCCAGAUCAUUUUGAGU
rnacentral:rRNA from 1 species